CCUACGGGUGGCAGCAGUGAGGAAUAUUGGUCAAUGGACGAGAGUCUGAACCAGCCAAGUAGCGUGAAGGAUGACUGCCCUAUGGGUUGUAAACUUCUUUUAUAAAGGAAUAAAACGAGGCACGUGUGCCUGUUUGCAUGUACUUUAUGAAUAAGGAUCGGCUAACUCCGUGCCAGCAGCCGCGGUAAUACGGAGGAUCCGAGCGUUAUCCGGAUUUAUUGGGUUUAAAGGGAGCGUAGAUGGGUUGUUAAGUCAGUUGUGAAAGUUUGCGGCUCAACCGUAAAAUUGCAAUUGAUACUGGCAGUUGUGAGUACAGUUGAGGUAGGCGGAAUUCGUGGUGUAGCGGUGAAAUGCUUAGAUAUCACGAAGAACCCCGAUUGCGAAGGCAGCUUACUAAACUGUGACUGACAUUGAUGCUCGAAAGUGUGGGUAUCAAACAGGAUUAGAUACCCCAGUAGUC
rnacentral:rRNA from 1 species